GAUUCGGGUCACCCAUCUCUCAAAUUCGGAUAGUAUAUAUUCUCUUUCUCAUACCACACAACGUAUUACAUCCUCACUUUCCUGAAACCCUAAAUCCCAAAAUACCAAUUCUCCUUCAAUUGUUCUUCGUCGAUUCAUCAUUCUCAAUGGCCAGUCGGAGCUAGGGUUACACCGUGAACCCUUGAUGACGACGAAAUUGCAUGCUACAGAACAGACAAUCGAAGGUAAGAUCUGUUUUAGCAGCAAAAAAAAAUUUACAAUCGUAUUCUUCUCUUCUCAGUUUCUUACUCUUAUCACACCAAAUCAAAUCAGUCUUUGGAUUCUUUUACAAAAUCUGUAUUUCCAUAUAUAAGAUGUCAUUCCAUUACAACUUUAUUCAUAUCACAAACCCUAUAGCUGAAUUUGUGAGAUUCAUUUUUCAAACAUCGACGAUCUGUGGAUGGUUUUGGUUUCUGUAACGACUUCUGAGGAGGUAAUUUUCUUUUAACAGUCCAUUGUAUUGUAGAUUGUAGAUUAUUGUAGAUUGUAUAUAUAGAUUUAUUGUAGAUCUUGAAUCGAUUUGUAGUGUUUAGGGUUUUCCAUCAGAUCUGUUAACCUAAUAACCUAACGUUUGACGUUUGUUUGUUAAUAAAAAUCUCCGAUGUGAGGUUGUUUGUUUAAAUCGUUAAGUAUAAUUUGGGGAUUUUAAAUAAUUCUUAAACCCUUAACAUUGAUUUGGGCGGAUUUCUAUAAAUCAUUUUUCCGUUUUCUCAGAUCUGAAGAGAAAAAGAUGACGGCGAAAAGGGUUUCUUCGUUGUGUUAAUUCAUUAAACCAUUGAUGUUUUUGGAUUCGUAAAUCAUUGGUGUUCUUCGAUUAACAGUCAGGUCUUUCUCUCUCUCAUCUUUCUAAUUGGAUUUCACAAAAAAGGGGUCUUACUUCUUGGUGGGUGUUAAAUCUUUCAAAUUCCCAUAUGUAGUUAGAUACAUGUUAGUGGCGGCUCGGCCAUGGUGAUUCUGAUAUAUCUCAUCUAUCGAUCUACACACUUCCACGUUUCACGAUUUUUUGUGAAGAAAUUUUCGGGUCUGGAGGAAGGAGAACGCAAGUGUCGAAUCAGGGAACGAAGAGUCGCUCAAAUGGGAUUAUAGGGUCUGGAGGAUGGUUAUCUUCUUUUUGUCUUCUUUUCCAUAUUGAUUUGUAUCUCGACUUUAUGAACAUCUACUUUUCCUCUCUAUAAUAUAGUCAUUCUUAAGUGAUAUGACGAAAUUCAAUCAAAUCAGAUGAUACAAAACUCAUUUUCUUAUUGACGAAAACUCAUUUUUCAGUUUAUGUGAGGUUUUCCAUGACGGUGACAUCCAGAACUGGAAGAGUGUUGUAGGAAUUGACUUUGGCCGCAAAUAGGUAUGUCUGUGUUUUGGUCCAGGUGUUAGGUGGUCUUUGUGGAUGUAGUUUUGGUGUAUGGGGUCUAUAUUGUUUUGUUUGGAGUUGUCUGUUGCAGGGUGUUUAGCCCCUCUCUAAGCUUUUGGUUUUGACAAAUGGGUACCAUUUGAGAGUGUAAUUGUCUGUAAUGAUCUGAAAAGAGGAGGCAGACACUGAGGUUCAUGAUAUCCUUGAAUUGUAUAGACGUCUGCAUGAGGAAUACUUGGCUGUCCCUGUUGUGAAAAGGAGACUGAGUGAGUUGGAGAAAUUUGUCGGCAGCCUCUAUACCACUAGCGUUGAGGUCGAGGUGUACAAGGUGAAAUCUCACAUUGCUUGGGCCAGAAUUUCGCUAAAAUGUUCGAGAUUAACUUUGAAGAUGAAAAAGGAGAAUAGGCUAUGGUCUGGCAGAACUCGUGGGCAUAUAGUACCAGAACAAUUUGGGUGAAGGUGAUGGUUCAUGGUGAUGAUAAAAGCCUGGUGUUGCCCCCUAAAGUUGCAGCAAUACAAGUUAUCGUCGUGCAUGUGCCUUAUAAAGAUGCAGAGGUUAAGGAAAUAAUAAACGCACAAACGGAGUGAUUGCCGGUUGUAGCGCUAUUUGCUACACUUUGCACCAUUUAUCCGGGAAUUCUUCAUUUUAAGGCGGUUGAUUUGGGAUUUAUAUAAGGCAAAGGUACGUGAUACACAAUUUGAUUAAAAUCUAAAAUCCAUUGUUCUCUCCAGUCAUUCAAAGCUUAGAGCAUACCAGCAUCGUCGGGGUUACUUCGGAAGUCCUACUAUAUUAUGAUAUUUCAAAAAGAAGCCUUGAUCCUCUUGGUGCAGCAAUCAGCAGGGUAAUCAUUUUUUUGUGCAUACAGUUUUGUAGGUCUAUCGCAUCAGUCUAUAGCACCUCAAAAAAAGUUGAAACUUUAUCCCGCUCUGUUUGUUGUAACAGAAGUUAAGAUAUCUUCUUCUUUUAUAACAUAUUUAGUUUUAGCCUAUUUAUGAUUUUCUUUUUAUGUCGGUUCAACAGGAUGAAGACUGUUGGUUUCAAGUAGAAGGUUAUGUGCUUGCUAGAUUUGUGCGUUUACCAAUGAAUCAACGUAUCGACUCAAAUUUUAUAGGAUCGGCUUAUGAGAAAAGGCCCGAUUUUUUGUUACACUUUGGGCUCGAAAAUGGUUCUGCCGCCUCUACUUCUUACGAUGUUGAGACAAGUGGAGGGUUAUCCAAGUCGGUUUGAUUUUACUCUCCUCUACAUAAUCAGGUCAAACGGCACGUGAUGGCCCGUAUGAGGUUCAACUGUCUAUACCAGUGGAGGGUUAUGAGUUUGAUAUACUCAUGCUCUCUUGGUGAUGGUAAGUUAAUGGGUUAAUACUGGUCUAUAAUGGAUUUGGUUGAACGACUUCUUUGUCCGAAUUUUUAGAAUUUUGUAUAAAUAUAUAAGGUUACAAAUAUGACUACAAAAGUUACCUUAUCUCACUAAUAAUCUAAUCAAUAAUCUAAAUCUUUUGAAUAAAAUAGUUUAGGAGGUUUAUAUAUUGAUUUGUUAUUGUUUCUAUGUGUUUGUGGAAUCUUAAAUAAGUAUGAAGACUAUGACUUUGCUGGGACGGGAAGUAUUGCUACAGAAACGGUUAGUAGUUUGAAAUUGUGUAUCUUCUAGAAAAGUAAAUAUAUUUAAUUAAAUUCGUUACAUUUCUGUUCGAAUAACUUAGUGGCUUUUAAAUUGGGUCACAAUCUAUUUGACAGUUUGGAUGCAAAAUAAUCGAACAAGUUUUACUACUUUUUGGUUAAAUUUUAAUAUAUGUCACCAUCUUUUAUAAAAAACUGGAUUUAUCUUGGGGGUUUUAAUGUCUGAUUUUUCAUAGCUGGGCACCAACUUUAUAAAAUAGAUUGGCUUUUUCUUUGCUAGAUUUCUUAUAUUUGAAAUGGGUCGCAGAUCUGGAUUCAUGAGAUUGACUAUUGAAUCCUAUAAAUGUUUCUAAGAAAGAGCGGAUUUUUUUGGGAUCUUGAUGUAUAAUAAUAAGGGUAUAAUAUGUUUUCUGUGACUUGGGGACCAACUUAAUUGUAACAUGUAUGGAAAUUACAUCAUUACAAAUAGAGGUAUAUUACAAUUUCACAUAAAUGGUUUUUUUUUUCACAUUUUCCAUUCUCAUAAUCAUACAUUUAAAAUUAAUUUUUUACGUUUGUUGUUUACGUAAUUUAAAUGGUCAACCCCGUGAGUAUUCUGUGAUAAUUCUCUGGCAGGGGUAUUUUGGGCAGUUAAAAAUUGGGGCAAGAUGAGAUAGGGGUAUUAUGAGUAUUUUUUCAGGACUAUGGGCACUAGACAGAAAAUGGGAUAUGCUAUUAUGAUUAAGAUGGUAUAGUGUUUGUUUAGAAAGUUCAGAGUUUGAUCAGAGACUGUGGCAUUAUUGUGAAAUUUAUAAAUAUGUUACGUACUAGGAUUAAAUAGAAACAAGGGCAUUUUGGAAAUUGUUUGUGGAAGCUGCUUUAUCUCGAAACUACAUCUGAUGGUGCAGCUUUAAAGUGGCCUAAUGUGUUUUGGGAAAGUAUGUGGCAUGUUCAAGAUAUUAUACAGGUGUGUUUAAAGAAUAUUAUUGUGAUAGAAAUUACUGGGUAUUGCUUAUGGUAGUGUUGUGAUAGAAACUCAGGUCUAACAUGCACCAUUGGUGAUGGUAAGCUAUGAUUUUUAGUGUUGAUAAUAAAUGGUUUUUAUGCAUUGUUUUUAA